CACCUCCACCACCACCUCCUCCUCAUUCUGUCACUGUUUCAACAAUUCUAAAGGUUGGUGGAGUUGGAACUACUACUCCACCACCACCACCUCCUCCCAAUCAAGGAUAUUCUCCUCCUCCUCCUACUCUUCGUGGAGGUUCACCUCCACCAUCACCACCACCACCGCCAUUACCAGGACGUAGAGUUCCAGCUCCACCACUGCCUCCACCACCACCUCCACUGCCUCCACCGCCACCUCCACUGCCAGGUGGGUCUCCACCUUCACCACCACCACUUGCAUAUGGAGCUCCACCACCUCCUCCUUCACGUGGAGCUCCACCACCACCACCAACACCUCCUCCUCCUCCUUCACAUGGAGCUCUAC
rnacentral:misc_RNA from 1 species